GUCCAAGUAGCUCAGUGGUAGAGCAACCGGCUGUUAACCGGUAGGUCGGAGGUUCGAAUCCUCCCUUGGACG
rnacentral:tRNA from 1 species